ACAUACGACCAUAGGGUGUGGAAAACAGGGCUUCCCGUCCGCUCAGCCGUACUUAAGCCACACGCCGGUGAGUUAGUAGCUGGGUGGGUGACCACCAGCGAAUCCUCACUGUUGUAUGUUU
rnacentral:rRNA from 1 species